UUUAAAUAAAAUCUAUAUUUAUAAUAUAAUUGAAAAACUACAAUGUUAUAAACUUAUUCACUCAUCAUAAUUGUACGGAGAAUAUACUCCUAGCAAAUCGGAGGACUGUUGGGAUCCAUCACAGACUCUAGGCCCUUACAUAAAAUAAGAUAAUAUUUUAAAAUAAGGACUCGAAUUGAACUAGAAACGGUUUAAAAAAUAAAAAAAUAUGAUACGCGGAUUCAAAUGAACUCCUAGAAUUUCUAUAGAAAAUCCAACAACAUCUCCCCUAAGAUUGGAUUAGGGAUGGCUGAGUGGCUUAAGGCAUUCAUUUGCUAAAUCGACAUACAAUCUUCUUGAAUCAUGGGUUCGAAUAAUCCACCCGCAAAGCGGUCCAAAACCUGUAGAAAAAACCAUUUUUAUAUUUGACUAAAAUUUAUUUAGGUCUCCAAACUACACAUUAUGCCCAAAAACACACCAAAUUCACAACACAAUAGAAUUAUAAAGUCUCACUGGCUUCCAACAAUAAAUUAUAAUAAUAUUAGACUAAAAUAAAUUAUUUUCUCAAAUUCCAAUUCAUUUAAUUCUUGAUAUCCAAAAUAAUUCUCCUCCAUAUAAGAACAAUAUAAUAAUUAUCCCGAGCAUUUAAACGAUUUAACGGUUCUAUAAUCAUCCAACAACUCACAAUUUAAUGAUAAUUCACCCAAAUUAAAUAUUCUAAUUUUAAUACUAAAAUUCACAUUAAAAAUGGAUAACUAAUUAUCCGAGAAUUUAACCAACCAAUACCACCAAAAUUUUAGAAAUAAAGCGGGGAAGAUUUUGCCUCUCGGCACACAAAUCAAGGCGCCACCACUCGCAGUGGCAGAAAAAUUUGAUUGCGAUUCAAGACAACCUACUCAAAGCUUUUGAUAUGAGGAUUCUAAAUAUACAGUUCUUUUCGCCUAACUCUUCACCGAUUUUCCAAAAGAUGGCUUAUAAGGGGCUGCUCUAGCGAGGCUCCACCACUCGAUUCUAGCGACUGUAAAGGCUGGGGAUGCUUCAGGCCGACGUCAUUAGAGGUGGGGAGAUUGUUGGCAGCCUUAACUUCACAAGACCAGCGCUGGUUUGGUCGAAGAGACACCAACAACCCCAUCAAAACGUUGCUCCUUUUUUAAUCGUUUUCCAGCAAGGAAAUGUUGAGCCCGAGAUGUUGCAAGUUUGGGGAGGCUGUGACCUGUGGCUUUUUGCUAAAUUUACAUAAAUUUACAUAUACAUUUAUAAAUUUACUUAAUUUGUAUUUUUACUCUUCUCUUCUUUUUUACCAUGAUUUUGUCUAUUUCAAUUCUUUGCAAAUGAAGUGUAGUGAAAGUCAUAGAAAUAUUAUAAGGCUGGGUAUCUCAAAUUAUAUUUUUCAAGCAAUAAAAUCGUUAUAUUAUAUAGUGCAUUAUCAUAAGGCUAUUUAUAAAAUAAAAAGAAAUAAAUAAAUUAAUAUAUGAACUAAUUAUGCAUAAGAGAAAAUGAAAUUGAUGAAAACACUAGGAAAAAUUGACUGGUGUUACAUCUAACAAAGAUCUUUUAGUCAGUGCAUACCUAUUUUGUUCACCAAUUUUUCAAAUAUUGUUGUAAGGAGUACUUUUGUAAACAAAUCUGCCAUAUUAUCAUUAGGUCGAACUUGAUCAACAUUAAAACUCAUUGCUUCUGAAGCAGAUAAUGAUGAAAAAUAUGAACUUUUUUUUAAAUAAGGAAAAUUCAAAUUAGAAUGAUGAAACAUAUUUUCUAUAAUACUUGGAAGCGGACAAUGAUGUUUUAAAUUUAUUUUAUUAUUAUUAUUGAAUGAUUAUGUUGUAAUUGGAUUAGUGUAUACACUUAUUUAUGUAGUCUAUCUUAUCACAGUUUGAAUGUCGGGUGUCAUUUGAAAAACAUUAUCUUUGGAAUAACACUCAGUAUACAUAUACUUUUGGGGCGUGUACUAGGUGGUUACUUUUUGGCGGUUUUGUUUGCACCGCAUGACAAGGAAUUGCGCUUUGGUUUUGCCAGGUUAGACAUACAUUGCGCCCAAAGCUGCCAUGGAUCAGUAGUAGACAUUUAUGAGUGUGCAUAGUGUUUUACUAUAAUUUUAAUUAUUUAUACUAUUUGUUGUUGAUGUUAAUACUGUUAGUAUUAUUAUUAUUAUUAUUAUUAUUAUAUGAUUAUCAUUAUUAUUAUUAUUACUACUAUUGUAAUUGUCACUACCAAUAUGAUUGGAAUCGAUUAGCUAGUGGAUUAUUACAUGAUUUCAUCCCCAAACGAGUUAUUCAGCUAGGUUGAUAUUUGCGGUUUCUUUUAAAUAUUUAGCAUAAUGGAUAAUUCCUUGUCUGUUUCCUCUUGUUAUUUGUUUAUCCUCUCACAGAGUUAUUUACUUAUCUUUUUAUUUUUCUAAUAUUUUUAAAUUUUCCUGCUAUUCAGUAGUAGAUUCCUCUUUUAGAGCGUUGUCCCCGUUUCCACUUCUUCGAAACUCAGCUUUUGUGGAGGUUGAGCCAUCAAUCUUAGUUAAUAUUUUUAUUAUUAUUUUGGAAUUAUGUAAUAUUUUGUUAUAUACGCCGAUGGGCCUUUUAAAUCAUUUUGUCACCUUUAUUUUAUAACUGAGGUUCACAAGUUCCUAAGGGUUUUAAAGUGUUACUAUUUGAUACUUAAGAUUGGAUACCCUAAUGUACUAGUUACCUAAUGUGAUGCAGAUUACAGAAUUAUGUUGGCCAGUUAAUUACUGUGCAUAACUACAAUGUUAGUUCCCGUUGCCCCUACCUAUCAGUGUAGGGUUGGGUAUUAUAAUGAGGGCAUGCACCCUUUCUUGGCAUAAAAAAGGAUGUGUUUGGAAAUUAAAUGGCUUUGAUCAACCUAGCCCAUAAGAAAUAGGGAUGAGUAAGAAGCCUAUAGGCUUGUUUACUUAAGAGUGCUACAUUAAAUUUCUCUAUGUCCUUAAACCCAAGCCUCCCUUUGAACUUAGAUCUGGUCAUAAUUUCUCAUUUUUCAAAAUGGAUUCCCUUCUUCCACCUGUAUUAUCCCCACAUGAAGGAUUUGAUUAUUGAAUUGAUUUUCCUACAGGUCUUCUUAGGUUAGAAUGGCCGCUAAAACUGACUUUAUUAUAACUUCUCUUCCAGCGUGAGAGAGCAAAAUCUUUUCCAAGACUAAGCUAUGGAUUUAACCUAUCUAAGAUGAAUUUUAGUGGCUGACAUUUUGAUGAGCCCUAGAAGGAGAGAAGGCCUAGGUAUGUAUCCCACAGUGCCAUGUUGCUUAUGCCAAAGGUGUUUUGAAUGGAAUUCCUAACUGGUUGAUCCACACUGUGGCUAAAUAAAAUGCGAGACUUUGCAUAAUUAAUUCUCUAUCCUGAAGCUCAGAGUAUAUAUCUAUGAGUGAUUUAAUCCCACUAGCUUCCUCAAUGGUGGCCCUCCCCAAUAAUAAGGUAUCAUCAGCAAAUAAUAAGUGAGUGAGAGAGGGAUAUCUUCUAUUUAUCCUAAAGCCCCUAAUCAUAUAAGAUUUAAGAGCAUGUUGGAAAGUAAAAGAUAAAACAUUAGAAACAAAUAAGAAGAGAUAAGGUGAUAAAGGAUCGUCCUGCCUUAAUCCUCUAGUGGGUUUAAAGAAAGAAGAAGGGGAACCAUUAACAAUGAGUGUUGACACACUGCAUAAGCAAGACAACCACCUUUUCAUGAAAACCCAUAGCUAAUAGAACAUGAUGUAGGAGAUCCUAAUCCAUCCUAUCAUAAGCCUUCUGCAUGUCUAACUUGAUUGCCAUUUCUGUAAAGCCCUUCUUUCUCCUGUUCUAAUUGCAUGAAAAAUUUCAUGGGCAACCAAAACAUUAUCAUGGAUGUUUCUAUCGGGAACAAACGUUACUUGGUAAGGGCUAACAAGUUGAGACAACUAAGGUUUCAAUCUAAGCACAAGGAUUUUAGCAAUGAUUUUAUAAUUAAAAUUGUAGAGGCUAAUAGGCCUAAACUAAGACACUGACUCAAGAAGUUUAAAUUUAGGGAUAAAGACAAUAUUGGUCUUAUUCCACUCCUUAAGCAUAUAACCAAUUUGAAAGAACUGUUUGACAGCCAGACACACAUCUCUCCCCCCAAAGCCUAGUUUUUAUGAUAAAAAAUGCAUUAGAAACCAUCUGGACCUAGAGCCUUGAAGCUACCCAGGCUAAAUGCUACUUCCNNNCCAGCUAAUGCUACUUCCUUAAUUUCCUGGUCCGUGACAGGAGCAAGUAGAGAAUGGUUCAACUCCUCAGGGACUAAGCUAGGGACCAAAGCAAUUGCUUCCUAUAGCAUGCUAAUUAGUUCAGUAGAGUAAAGUGUGGAAAAGAAGGAGCAUAUGAGGUUAUCAAGAUCAGCUUCCCCUUGCACCCAACACCCAUUAGGAUCCUUUAAUUUAACUAUUUGAUUCACAUGCCUUCUACAUAUAGUGGAAGCGUAAGAAAAUGAUGUAUUUCUGUCCCCUAAGUGCACCAACUAAUUCCAGAUUUUUGAAAUAAAUGCAUGUUCUCCAUUUGCUAGAGGUCAAAUAACUUGUUAGUGAGAUGGGCAAGGACAUUCCUUGCAUUAUCCGAGGGUGGAGAGGAGUGAAGUUCAUCAAUCUUGGAUUUUUUUUGAAGAAUCAUUAUCUUAACAUUAGAUCUUCCCUUAUUCCAAACAGUUAGGGCUUUCCUACAACUAUCCAAUACAUAUUAAAACCCUUAACCUCUGCUUGCCAAGAAUUAUUAAUAAUAGUCGAAAAAUCUUCUUGAGCUAACCAUUUUGCCUCAAACCUAAAGCACUGUUUAACCUAACCUCCGCUGGAAAACUAGAAUCAAUGCUCGAUGGUAAGAUCCAAUCAACUCCUCAUGAAUCAUCUGAGCAUGUUGAAAAAGAAAUCUCCAUUCAGCAUUGCCAAAAGCCCUAUCCAACCGUUGAGCUAUAUAGUGUCGCCUAGAUUGCUUAUUUAACUAAGUGAAAGGGUGACUUUAUGGCCUAGAUCAAUUAAUUCACAGUCGUUGAACUUGUUUGAGAAAAGGUUUGCCUGGCUUAGAUCAACCCCUCGUCCCCCACUUUUUCAUGUUCAAACAAAACACAGUUUAAAUCGCUCAUACAGGACUAGGUGCUACUCGAACAUAAGCACGCAAGAUUAUCAAAAACAUCAGCUCUCAAAUAUCUAUAAGUGCUGCCAUAAACAAAUAUAUGCAUGAAGUAAAUAUUUUAUUCAUAUUUACAGCCAACAUGAAUAAAAUCAGAUGAGCUAGCUAAUACCUGGAUCAAGACUUCAACUUUCCACCAUAAAGCAAGACCUCCUCUAACUCCUUUUGAGUUCACGUAAACAACCUCGUCAAACUGUAAUCUACGGCUUAACUUCUCUAGAAAACUCUAAUGAUUCUUCAUUUCCAUAAAAAAAACUACGUUGGGUCUCCAACAGAACACUAGUUCUUUUAAAGUAUGAACUGUCAUGCGAGACCCUAAACCUUGAUAGUUCCAGCUUAUCCAACUCAUGGCUGAUGGGUGGCUUUAGGCGAGCUACCAGCACCAUCAGAAUCAAACACACUACUACCUUGUCCUUUCGGGCCAACUUCCUUUCGUGCUUCAUGAUUUGUUACUUUGCCUUCGUCAUGAAUUUCUUCAAUAUGGAUGACUUUCCUCUGUCUAGC
rnacentral:lncRNA from 1 species